UACGCCAAGGAGUUUGGACCUGGCUCAGAUUGAACGCUAGCGGGAUGCCUUACACAUGCAAGUCGAACGGCAGCACGGACUUCGGUCUGGUGGCGAGUGGCGAACGGGUGAGUAAUGUAUCGGAACGUGCCCAGUAGCGGGGGAUAACUACGCGAAAGCGUAGCUAAUACCGCAUACGCCCUACGGGGGAAAGCAGGGGAUCGCAAGACCUUGCACUAUUGGAGCGGCCGAUAUCGGAUUAGCUAGUUGGUGGGGUAACGGCUCACCAAGGCGACGAUCCGUAGCUGGUUUGAGAGGACGACCAGCCACACUGGGACUGAGACACGGCCCAGACUCCUACGGGAGGCAGCAGUGGGGAAUUUUGGACAAUGGGGGAAACCCUGAUCCAGCCAUCCCGCGUGUGCGAUGAAGGCCUUCGGGUUGUAAAGCACUUUUGGCAGGAAAGAAACGUCAUGGGUUAAUACCCCGUGAAACUGACGGUACCUGCAGAUAUAAGCACCG
rnacentral:rRNA from 1 species